UACAGAGGUCCCCAAGCGUUGUUCGGAUUCACUGGGCGUAAAGGGUGCGUAGGCGGUCGGGUAAGUCUGACGUGAAAUCUUCGAGCCUAACUCGGAAACUGCGUCGGAUACUAUUCGGCUAGAGGAAUGGAGGGGAGACUGGAAUACUUGGUGUAGCAGUGAAAUGCGUAGAUAUCAAGUGGAACACCAGUGGCGAAGGCGAGUCUCUGGACAUUUCCUGACGCUGAGGCACGAAAGCCAGGGGGAGC
rnacentral:rRNA from 1 species